GGGAAGCUCAGCUUCAGCUGUGGGUAGAGAAGACAGGACUCAGGACAAUCUCCAGCAUGGCCGGCUUCCCUCUCGUCCUCACCCUCCUCACUCACUGUGCAGGGUCCUGGGCCCAGUCUGUGCUGACUCAGCCACCCUCAGCGUCUGGGACCCCUGGGCAGAGGGUCACCAUCUCUUGUUCUGGAAGCAGCUCCAACAUCGGAAGUAAUGCUGUAAGCUGGUACCAGCAGCUCCCAGGAACGGCCCCCAAACUCCUCAUCUAUAGUAAUAAUCAGCGACCCUCAGGGGUCCCUGACCGAUUCUCUGGCUCCAAGUCUGGCACCUCAGCCUCCCUGGCCAUCACUGGUCUCCGGUCCGAGGAUGAGGCUGAUUAUUACUGUGCAGCAUGGGAUGACAGCCUGAGUGGUCCCACAGUGCUCCAGGCCCAGGGGGAACUGAGACAAGAACCCCCUUCCUCCUCCUCCAGGAGGGUGAGCCCCAGCAGCUUCUGCUCAGGCCUGGCCUGUGGCUUCUUCUGCUGCAGCUUCCUUCAUGGGUCCAGGCGCAUCCAAGGUCCUGCCUGA